CUGCUAUCGGAUUGAUACUAAGCCAUGCGAGUCAUUGUAGCAAUACAAGGCAUACGGCUCAGUAACGCGUAGUCAACCUAACCUAGGGACGGGAAUAACCUCGGGAAACUGAGAAUAAUGCCCGAUAGAACAUUAUGCCUGGAAUGGUUUAUGUUCCAAAUGAUUUAUCGCCGUAGGAUGGGACUGCGGCCUAUCAGUUUAUUGGUGAGGUAAUGGCCCACCAAGACUAUUACAGGUACGGGCUCUGAGAGGAGUAGCCCGGAGAUGGGUACUGAGACACGGACCCAGGCCCUAUGGGGCGCAGCAGGCGAGAAAACUUUGCAAUGUGCGAAAGCACGACAAGGUUAAUCCGAGUGGUUUCUGCUAAAGGAACCUUUUGUCAGUCCUAGAAACACUGAUGAAUAAGGGGUGGGCAAGUUCUGGUGUCAGCCGCCGCGGUAAAACCAGCACCUCAAGUGGUCAGGAUGAUUAUUGGGCCUAAAGCAUCCGUAGCCGGCUCUGUAAGUUUUCGGUUAAAUCUGUACGCUCAACGUACAGGCUGCCGGGAAUACUGCAAAGCUAGGGAGUGGGAGAGGUAGACGGUACUCGGUAGGAAGGGGUAAAAUCCUUUGAUCUAUUGAUGACCACCUGUGGCGAAGGCGGUCUACCAGAACACGUCCGACGGUGAGGGAUGAAAGCUGGGGGAGCAAACCGGAUUAGAUACCCGGGUAGUCCCAGCUGUAAACCAUGCAAACUCAGUGAUGCAUUGGCUUGUGGCCAAUGCAGUGCUGCAGGGAAGCCGUUAAGUUUGCCGCCUGGGAAGUACGUACGCAAGUAUGAAACUUAAAGGAAUUGGCGGGGGAGCACCACAAGGGGUGAAGCCUGCGG
rnacentral:rRNA from 1 species